rnacentral:rRNA from 1 species
AACGAACGCUGGCGGCAGGCCUAACACAUGCAAGCCGAACGAACCGUUUACGGUGAGUGGCGCACGGGUGAGUAACACGUGGGAAUAUACAUUUCGGUAAGGAAUAACGUAGAGAAAUUUACGCUAAUACCUUAUAAUGACUACGGUCCAAAGAUUUAUCGCCGAAGGAUUAGCCCGCGUUAGAUUAGGUAGUUGGUAGGGUAAUGGCCUACCAAGCCUACGAUCUAUAGCUGGUCUUAGAGGAUGAUCAGCCACACUGGAACUGAGACACGGUCCAGACUCCUACGGGAGGCAGCCGUGAGGAAUAUUGCGCAAUGGGGGAAACCCUGACGCAGCCAUGCCGCGUGAGUGACGAAGGCCCUAGGGUUGUAAAGCUCUUUCAGAUGUAAAGAUAAUGACGGUAACAUCAGAAGAAGCUCCGGCUAAAUUCGUGCCAGCAGCCGCCGUAA